CGACCGGGUGAGUAACACGUGACUAACCUACCUUCGAGUGGGGGAUAACCUCGGGAAACCGAGGCUAAUACCGCAUAAUGUCCUUGGGUCGAAAGAUCUGAAGAUCAAAGCAGCAAUGCUCUUGAAGAGGGGGUCGCGGCUGAUUAGCCAGUUGGCGGGGUAACGGCCCACCAAAGCGAAGAUCGGUAGCCGGCCUGAGAGGGCGCACGGCCACACUGGAACUGAAACACGGUCCAG
rnacentral:rRNA from 1 species